rnacentral:lncRNA from 10 species
UUUUAACAAAUGUCCAUCACGCUUAAGAUAAUGUUGUGGACACUGUUAUUGCCAUAGCUAUUUCCCUUCCUGUCCCUUUUACCAGAUCUGUACGUUCAUCCCUCUGCUUCUGCAUGAAGUGAUACUGAUUAGACCUGACAUAUUCAAAAAGGUAUCUUGGACACUGGAGCCGCAUAUCAGCUGGUAGGAAGAUCCCAAGGCUCAUAACCAGUACACAAAUUCUGAACCUGUGGGCAAACCUCCUACAACUCCUUAGAACUCUCCUGCGAAGAAAAGGCAAAAAGGGAUCUACGAAGCAUUGCACAUACAGGCCAAUAGCAGUGAGCUCAACAGUGAAAGGUAGAAGACAGGGCUUCCGAGGCAAUUGGGCAGCAUCAGUCUUCAGCCGCUAAGCCGAGAAGAU